rnacentral:misc_RNA from 1 species
GAUGAAGAACGUAGCGAAAUGCGAUAAGUAGUGUGAAUUGCAGAAUUCAGUGAAUCAUCGAAUCUUUGAACGCACAUUGCGCCCCUUGGUAUUCCAUGGGGCAUGCCUGUUCGAGCGUCAUUUGUACCUUCAAGCUUUGCUUGGUGUUGGGUGUUUGUCUCGCCUUUGCGUGUAGACUCGCCUUAAAAUAAUUGGCAGCCGGCGUAUUGAUUUCGGAGCGCAGUACAUCUCGCGCUUUGCACUCAUAACGACAGCGUCCAAAAGUACAUUUUACACUCUUGACCUCUGAUCAGGUAGGGAUACCCGCUGAACUUAAGCAUAUCAAUAAGCGGAGGA